rfam:Ciona savignyi cont_35547, whole genome shotgun sequence.
GGCCCGUUGGUCUAGAGGCAUGAUUCUCGCUUUGGGUGCGAGAGGUCCCGGGUUCAAAUCCCGGGACGGGGCC